rnacentral:tRNA from 1 species
GCCUCCGUAGCUCAGUGGAUAGAGCGCCGGACUUCUAAUCCGUUGGUCGCAGGUUCGAGUCCUGCCGGGGGCG